GAGGAUUCCUCAAAUCCUUGAUCCAGUGCAAUGCCUACACAUAGCUGCAGCUUGGGCAUAAAUUUAGCCUCCAGGCGCAAUGCGUUCCCAAGGGAAGCCUGCACAGAACGUAUGUCAUAUUCACUUUUACGAAUCAAGACAACUUGGCCUUGUGCGGCACAUCCCGUGAAGAAAUCCUCAUGAGCUAGAAGAUACCGAAUUUUAAGAAUCAUGCCGAAAAUAAAAUCAAGGAUGGGUUAUUUAAUACCCUGACCCUCUAUGUUCUGAACUCUUAAAGUUCACAUGGUUUUUCGUCUCUGAAUGUUUUCAGAAACCCACUCC
rnacentral:lncRNA from 1 species